rnacentral:rRNA from 1 species
CCUACGGGAGGCAGCAGUGAGGAAUAUUGGUCAAUGGGCGAGAGCCUGAACCAGCCAAGUCGCGUGAGGGAGUACUGCCCUAGGGGUUGUAAACCUUUUUUGUCGGGGGGCAAAAGCCGGACGUGUCCGGCUGUGAGAGUACCCGAAGAAAAAGCAUCGGCUAACUCCGUCCCAGCAGCGGCGGUAAUACGGAGGAUGCGAGCGUUAUCCGGAUUUAUUGGGGUUAAAGGGUGCGCAGGCGGAUUUUUAAGUCAGCGGUAAAAUCGUGGGGCUCAACCCCAUCCAGCCGUUGAAACUGGGGAUCUAGAGUGUGCGAGAGGUAUGCGGAAUGCGUGGUGUAGCGGUGAAAUGCAUAGAUAUCACACAGAACCCCGAUUGCGAAGGCAGCAUACCGGUGCACAACUGACGCUGAAGCACGAAAGCGUGGGUAUCGAACAGGAUUAGAUACCCUUGUAGUC